ACAGACUAUCAGAAAAAAAUAAAUUCAUCACUCCUCAACUUUCCCUUCUCCACAUUAUAUACAACGCCACUGAACGAUCCAAUAUUUUGUUUUUAAAAGGAGAGUCCAAAUUGAGCUGGUAUUGGUUGGGAGAGUAUAUGAAGAUGGGAGGACUCUCAAAAGAAAAUGCGUGAAUUCCAACCAUGAGAUGAAUAUCGCCCAACUUUGAUUUUUCCGACCCCCGUUACAUGUUUUCCGAUACAUGAGAAGCAAUCAUAGUGAGUGGCAAUGCACGAGAUAUAGCGAAAACCUUGUGACUGUUCAAAUAUCAAUGCUUCUAUCCGUGAGCUAGAAGAGCUGUUUCCACCGAGCUAACCUCUUCACAAAGGCAAUAUAAGGGAAUGCAAACUUCAAGAAACUACACAGAUCAUCAACAUUCAUAUUCUAGUGUUUAGCAAAUAAUGGCGAUAACGACAUCAAAACAGACCAGAUAACGAGGUGGAAUCCUUUGAGAAAAAGACUGAAGAUCACGAAUGCAAAUAUGUGCUUUCAAAUGUGAAGAUGAAGGGAAUAACUUAUGCUAUCCUAUCGAAUCAACUCCAUUACAUCAUGGUUCAAGGAUACAUAUGUCAACCGACCAAACGAAUCAUGAAGUUUCUUAACAACGAAGGAUAUAUAUUGAAAAUGACAACUUGGUAAAGGUGUACUAAUUAAAAGGGCUGGUUUUGGAUUUGGUGACUCUUUUUAUCCUCCUGUACAGAGGUAGCUUGGAAUUUGGGCCGCGUCGGAAAAUACAUAUGAGAGCUCUAAUAAAUCUUCUGGACUAUUAUAUUUUCAUUUCUUACGGGCCAGGGAGAAAAUUGCAACCCAAUUCAAAUUUUUAUUGCAACAUAAAA